rnacentral:lncRNA from 1 species
GAAAUCUGUUUGACCUUUUUAUGAAAUUUUGAACAUGUUUGAAAAUUUGAAUAUUUUGUUCGUUCGAAAGUUCCAAGUGUCCGCAAAUUAAUAGUUUUGUAUCUAAGACAAAGUUUUCAGAUAGCCAGUUAAGUUUAUGGAAUAAGGUUUUUCUACAUAAUGUGUAUUUUGGACAAACGAAGAAGUAAUGGUAGACAUCCUCAAUAUCGGACCC